rnacentral:rRNA from 1 species
GAUGAACGCUGGCGGCGUGCCUAAUACAUGCAAGUCGAACGAGUUCUUCGGAACUAGUGGCGGAGGGGUGAGUAACACGUUGGUACCUACCCCGAAGUGGGGAAUAACUGGCCGAAAGGUCGGCUAAUACCGCAUAAUACCGUAAGGUUAAAGCAGUAAUGCGCUUCGGGAGGGGCCUGCGUCUGAUUAGCUAGAUGGUAGUGUAAUGGACUACCAAGGCGACGAUCAGUAGCUGGAUCGAGAGGUUGACCAGCCACACUGGGACUGAGAUACGGCCCAGACUCCUACGGGAGGCAGCAGUAAGGAAUCUUCCACAAUGGACGAAAGUCUGAUGGAGCAACGCCGCGUGCAGGAUGACGGCCUUCGGGUUGUAAACUGCUUUUAUAUGGGAAGAUUAUGACGGUACCAUAUGAAUAAGGACCGGCUAACUACGUGCCAGCAGCCGCGGUAA